rnacentral:rRNA from 1 species
CCUACGGGUGGCAGCAGUGAGGAAUAUUCGUCAAUGGACGAGAGUCUGAACCAGCGAAGCAGCGUGAAGGAUGACUGCCUUCUGGGUUGUAAACUUCUUUUUUAUGGGAGUAAAUUGUUCCACGUGUGUGAUUUUGUAUUUACCAUAUGUUUAAGGAUCGGCUAACCUCGGUCCGUCCGCCGCGGUACUACGGAGGAUCGGAGCGGUAUCCGGUUUUGUUGGGUUUAAAGGGAGUGUAGGUGGGUUGUUAAGUCAGUUGUGAAAGUUUGUGGCUCAACCGUAAAAUUGCAUUGGAGACUGGCAGACUUGAGUACAGUAGAGGUGAGCGGAAUUCGUGGUGUAGCGGUGAAAUGCGUAGAUAUCACGAAGAACUCCGAUUGCGAAGGCAGCUCACUGGACUGCAACUGACACUGAGGCUCGAAAGUGUGGGUAGCAAACAGGAUUAGAUACCCUUGUAGUC